CAAGUCGAGCGGACAGAAGGAGCUUGCUCCGGAUGUUAGCGGCGACGGUGAGUAACACGUGGGUACCUGCCUGUAAGACUGGAUAACUCCGGGAAACCGGAGCUAAUACCGGAUAGUUCCCUUGAACCGCAUGGUUCAAGGAUGAAAGACGGUUUCGGCUGUCACUUACAGAUGGACCCGCGGCGCAUUAGCUAGUUGGUGAGGUAACGGCUCACCAAGGCGACGAUGCGUAGCCGACCUGAGAGGGUGAUCGGCCACACUGGGACUGAGACACGGCCCAGACUCCUACGGGAGGCAGCAGUAGGGAAUCUUCCGCAAUGGACGAAAGUCUGACGGAGCAACGCCGCGUGAGUGAUGAAGGUUUUCGGAUCGUAAAGCUCUGUUGUUAGGGAAGAACAAGUGCAAGAGUAACUGCUUGCACCUUGACGGUACCUAACCAGAAAGCCACGGCUAACUACGUGCCAGCAGCCGCGGUAAUACGUAGGUGGCAAGCGUUGUCCGGAAUUAUUGGGCGUAAAGGGCUCGCAGGCGGUUUCUUAAGUCUGAUGUGAAAGCCCCCGGCUCAACCGGGGAGGGUCAUUGGAAACUGGGAAACUUGAGUGCAGAAGAGGAGAGUGGAAUUCCACGUGUAGCGGUGAAAUGCGUAGAGAUGUGGAGGAACACCAGUGGCGAAGGCGACUCUCUGGUCUGUAACUGACGCUGAGGAGCGAAAGCGUGGGGAGCGAACAGGAUUAGAUACCCUGGUAGUCCACGCCGUAAACGAUGAGUGCUAAGUGUUAGGGGGUUUCCGCCCCUUAGUGCUGCAGCUAACGCAUUAAGCACUCCGCCUGGGGAGUACGGUCGCAAGACUGAAACUCAAAGGAAUUGACGGGGGCCCGCACAAGCGGUGGAGCAUGUGGUUUAAUUCGAAGCAACGCGAAGAACCUUACCAGGUCUUGACAUCCUCUGACAACCCUAGAGAUAGGGCUUUCCCUUCGGGGACAGAGUGACAGGUGGUGCAUGGUU
rnacentral:rRNA from 1 species